rnacentral:rRNA from 1 species
GACGAACGCUGGCGGCGUGCUUAACACAUGCAAGUCGAACGGAAAGGCCCUGCUUUUGUGGGGUGCUCGAGUGGCGAACGGGUGAGUAACACGUGAGUAACCUGCACUUGACUUUGGGAUAACUUCAGGAAACUGGGGCUAAUACCGGAUAGGAGCUCCUGCUGCAUGGUGGGGGUUGGAAAGUUUCGGCGGUUGGGGAUGGACUCGCGGCUUAUCAACUUGUUGGUGGGGUAGUGGCUUACCAAGGCUUUGACGGGUAGCCGGCCUGAGAGGGUGACCGGCCACAUUGGGACUGAGAUACGGCCCAGACUCCUACGGGAGGCAGCAGUGGGGAAUAUUGCACAAUGGGCGGAAGCCUGAUGCAGCAACGCCGCGUGCGGGAUGACGGCCUUCGGGCUGUAAACCGCUUUCGCCUGUGACGAAGCGUGAGUGACGGUAAUGGGUAAAGAAGCACCGGCUAACUACGUG